CCCUAUGGGGUGCAGCAUUGAGUGAACAGGAUGGACAGGAGCAGGCCGAAAUCGAUGGAGCCCGUGAUUUGGCCAAUCGGAACGAAGAACUCCCCAAGCCAGGCUAUGCCCGGGGCCUUGCUUUCAAAAGCCUUGAGCAGAGCCAGCGGCCAAGUAAGCGGGCCCCGAAUGAAAGAGCGCCACAGCUCUACCGAAACCUCCCCGUACCAUGAUUGGUCCCAGGGCCAGACGGCGUUGUUGGCUGUAAUCCAAUAAAGGGUGGGCAGCAAUAAGGAACCGCUAAGAAGGUAGGGCAGGAGGGAUUUUAUUCGUUCGGCGGGGGAGC
rnacentral:rRNA from 1 species